UCCUCUCCCACUUGCGCCGCUUGCCUCCUCCUCUUCCUCCUGCCUCACCUCUCUAACCCUAGACCCGCACACGCCUCCGUCCAGAUCGAAACCCACGCCGCCGUCAUCUCGUUCGCCCAGCAGGCCGCCGCCGCACCGCACGAGGUGGGAUGUGACCCUUGCCCCCGCCGUCUCCUCGGCCCAGCCGACCACCCCUCCUCUGUGCGCCCCCCUCCUCCUUCCCAUCGGGAUCGGCCGCGGCAAGCCCUCGUCCCCCACCUCGCCGCCCCCGAGCCAGAGGACGAGGGCCUCAUGCGCGACCUCUUAGUGCUCUACCGCGACCCCGCGCACCCGUCACGCCUGCUCGUGAUGUAGUCGCGCCUCCGCCGUGGUGCCCUCCUCGACUCCAAGCUCUCCGAGGUGCUCAACCUCGCCAGUUCCCUCGAGGGGUCCCAUGACGGCUUCGAACACGCUGAGUCCACUGCCAAGGGCGCGCCACCACAUCUCAUCAUCCAGAGCCUCCGGCGGGCGCAACCAUGCUGGUACCCAGCUAACUUCUCCGUGCCUACUGCUUAGCUCAAGUGGGAGUGCUUUUUUGCUUUUAGGGGAUUGUGUGCGGGGAGGAGCAUCUUUUAUUUUUUUCUGAAUAGGAGGAGGCACAUUUAGCUUAUUCUUCCACCAUUGUUAAAGCUACAGAAGUUGGAUAGCGGAAUCAUAGAACUCUGCAAAUAUUCUGCGCCGGUUGGACGGCGUUCAGGCGCAACCCCGGCAUCCACUGAGUACUGCCUCUGCUACAACCUCCCUCGGUGAGCUCCAUCUUCCUCCCGCUCCUCUGCUUCGGCUACUGUAUGGGGGCAUGGCCGUGGCUAUGUUAUGUGGUGCUUGUCUGGUUGAUGCUCUAUGCCCUACUCAUCCAUCGGUUCCUACUUGAGCUCUAUAGUUGUGGAUCCAUGCUAUUCUAGGGUUUGCAUGCUGCUGUUCAUGUUUACUUGCUAUCAUAGGAGCUCAUGUGCUUCUCUGGUUUACAUGUGGAUGCCCUGGUCCUAUAGCUAUGCUUCUGGAUUUGAUUUCGGAUGCGUUUUGGGCCGUUGGAUCUUUCCCCGCCCGCUGGAUCAAAAAGAGACACUUAGCUGGCGCAAGGCUAUGAUGAUCGGUUAUGGCUGUUAUAAGCAUGCUCUCUAGCAAUCGAGGCACUUGUGGGUGUUAAGUACGACCUCCCCUUGUUUCUUUAAGCCAUUUUGAUCAUGUGCUUAUUUUAGUGGCUCUACCCUUGGAUGUUCAUUUCUGAUGAGUGAUAACCAGGGCAGUUUCACCCUUGUGAGAACACAUUGAUCUGGCGAUGGAGACACUAGGGGAAGGGACGAAGGGUAAUGAUCGAGCAAAGGCGAAUCUGAGGCCAUGUGUGUGCUGGCUCCUGGUUAGUCAGUGCGUCAAUGAGGUGAGGGAGGCCAUUCUUUCUAGGGCGAUGAUGAUUAACAGUGACUGAAAUAAGUGUGCAUUUGAGCAAUCGAGGCACCUGUGGGUAUCGAGUUGGAUCCUCCCUCUUGUCUCUUGAAUCCUUUUUGAUCAGGUGAUACUUAUUGUUCUGUCCUUGGAUGGCCACUCUUGUUGAGAGGUAACCAGGGCAGCUCCAUUGUAUAAACAAAUUGAUCUGGUGAUAAGAGAUGACGGGAGUAGGUUAUGUGAACGAGUAAAGGUGAAUCUGAGCCCACCAUGCAAUGAACCCUUUAUUUGUAUUUAAAGGUGUCGCUUAUUUAUGCUCCAGUGCUUAUAGCCGUCUUGUAUACAGAUUUCUUCUCUCUCAUAUCUUUAUUGCAUAUAAUUUGUUCUUGAUAUUUCUUAUUUGUUGUUGGUCCUUGAUUUAAUCUGGUUAAAAGUAGGUUGAACUUUAUUAUGCUAGACAGACUCGCUUCCAGUAUUUAUAAUUGUCUUAUGUAAUGAUUUCACUGAUGUACUGUUAGCAUCUUGAUGUGAUAUUUUGGUUACUUAGUUUGUUUUUGGUUCAAUUGGUCCCUUAGUUACUUCCUCGGUCCACAUGGCUACCACCGAAUAGAUUUUCUGUAUUUUUGUAUAUUUUGCUUAAAUCCCAUGCACCAUUUAUGCAUUUUCUAUACAUUUUUAAAAUUCUCAGCUUUAUGAAAGUGGAACAUUUCUGUUCUCUUGUUGGUUAUAAAGAUAACAGUUCGCCGUCUCCCUUAUCCCGCGUCGUCGCCUGCCUCUUCUCCUCCACUCCUCCUUUCGUUUUGUUGCUCAAUCCUCUCUGUAGUCCUGCUCCCUGGUCCAUGAGUCGUCGCUGGGUUGGUCGCCGAGGGGCUCCGAUGGCGGCGCGCUGGGGUGACGCCAGCUAAGGUCCGUUGUUCUCCUCCUCACUUGGCCUAGAUUUGCUGUGCCGCUGGUCGAUCUAUGCUGGUCUUCGCGUUUUCAUCAGGAAACUACAGCUUGUUUCAGUUACAACUGAGUUCUUGGGUUCCACUUUGUUGUUGGAAACUACUUACUGGUGGAGCUGCUGCUUGGUUCAUAGGAUCAUCUUGCUGUGGUCGCGUGAAAGGAUGGUGUUCGUGAUCUAUAUCAUGGAAAAUAUUUCCUGGAAUGCGUCUAGGGUAUGUGGAAGACUGGAUUUGAUAUUAUCCUGGAAUGGCAACUAUUGGUGUGCAACUGAAGAAUAUAUUUCAUGACCGAGAGAUGGUAUUUGGAGAAUCUUAGUUUUGAUAUGUACAUGAAUCUUCUUUUAUUUUGUCGUGCAACUGAAGAUAUGGGACUAUUUGCUCUGUGUAUCUCUUAUAAAUAAGGAAAUGGACUAUAGGUAAAAAAAUUCUAUUUUAAUUAUAUUAUGUUGUAGAUGAUGCAUGGUUCCUGAAUCUUUGUGCUUUGUACUGAACUUGAUGCAAACCAGUUGUCUUAUCUGGCACUGCCAAUCUGGCUUUUUGAAACAAACUUUGUGAUGUGCUUGCAAAAUUAAUUACCCUA